AGAGCUGCUACUUGCCGGAGGAGGCCAGCGCAGAGCUAGGAGGAAGAGGGAGGGAGGGGAGGGAAGGGAAGAGGCAGAAGGGGGACACCAUACGAUUACCAGUGAGCAGCUACUACUCUCUACCAAUCUCUUUCUUUGCUUCCUUUCUGCAGAAAAUGAUGUGUUCUCCCCUACCACCCUCACCCUGCAAUCCAAACACAAACGCGAGCACAUCUGACACAAAGAUCUUCCCUAGACCCCCUUCACCCUCCAAUACUUGGUUCACCCAAGAUGCGCUUCUUGGUUUCGAGCAGGAGAGGACAAGUUCUGAAGGAAGCUUUACCUGUAUGGAAGGGGGAGACGCCCAGCCAGGCAUCUCCAUGGGGCGCGCCUUGUCGUCCGAAGGCGACCUGGACCUCCUGGAGCAGCUGCUCUCCGGCGACAACGCCUGGCUUGAAGUGGCGCCCAACACUUCUCGCUCACCCAACUUUUUCGCUUCUCCCUCCACCUUCCUCUCAGAUGCCACAACCACCACCACGACGCCGGCAAGUACAAACAACGCCCUGUGGAUUCAGUCAGGCUCUUCCACCGUCCGGCAAAGGCUCGACCAAGCUCUGGCUUACAUAAAGGAGAUGCAGAGAGACGUCGGCAUGCUUGUGCAGCUAUGGGUGCCUAUCAAAAGCGGUGAAGGGCAGUUAGUGCUAUCAACGAGCGGGCAGCCAUUCACUCUUGAUGAGACCUCAGAAAGGCUCAGACAGUUCAGGGAAGUGUCGACGCGGUACCAGUUCUCUGCAGAUGUUGCGUCGGAGUCCUCGCCGAUUGGGCUACCGGGGAGGGUGUUCAUUGGCAAGCUACCUGAGUGGUCACCGGAUGUUCGCUACUUCACCAGCUAUGAGUACCCCAGGGUAAACCAUGCACAGUAUUUGGACGUCCAUGGGACGAUGGGGCUGCCGGUGUUCGAGAAGGGAAGUUACUCGUGCUUGGGUGUCAUGGAACUGAUCAUGACCAGGCAGAAGCUCAACUUCACCUCUGAGAUCAACAACAUAUGCAGUGCUCUCCAGGCAGUUAACCUGAGAAGCACAGAAGUUUCAAGCAUUCCUCGCGCCACAAAGUUCAACAGUGCUUCCUACAAAGAUGCUCUACCAGAGAUACUAGAAGUUCUAAGAGCAGCCUGCGUCACCCACAAGCUCCCAUUAGCUCAGACCUGGGUCACAUGCGCUCAACAAGAGAAAAGGGGCAGCCGCCACUCCGAUGAGAACUAUCGGCACUGCAUCUCCACCAUUGACGCAGCAUGCUACGUCAAUGAUCCCCAGAUGCAGAACUUCCAUGAGUCCUGCUCUGACCACCACCUUCUGCGUGACCAAGGGGUUGCAGGGAAAGCCUUCAGCACAAACCAGCCAUGCUUCUUACCAGACAUUGGUUCUUCAACCAAAAUGGAGUACCCAUUGUCCCACCAUGCUAAGAUCUUCAACUUAAAAGGAGCAGUGGCAAUCCGGUUGAGGUGCACGCGGACUGGGACAGCGGACUUUGUGCUAGAGUUCUUUCUGCCGACCAACUGUGAAGCCCUCGAGGAGCAGAAGGCAGUGCUGGACUCCUUGUCAGGCACCAUGCGCAGUACUUGCCGAACUCUACGUGUGGUUACAGAUAAGGAGAUGGGGGAUGAGAAAAUGCUGGAAGUGAAUGAGCUGAACUCAUUUGGUCCUCAAGGGAAGAAUAAAGUUGAAGAGUUGUCUUUUGGAGACCAAGCAACAGAACAUAGAGAGGAGGCAUCAUGGACAAGCCUAGCAGGGACUUCAAAAGAAUCAGAUUUAGCUGAAUUAAGUAUACAUGGUAUGCUAUCACCUGUAGGACAGGGUCUAUCUCCAGCUGGUGCUCAGACAAGUGCACAAGGCAGCAAAGGGAAAAGGCGCACAAAGACGGAGAAGACUGUGAGCUUGCCGGUUCUUCGGCAGUACUUUGCUGGUAGCCUGAAAGAUGCAGCAAGGAGCCUUGGAGUGUGCCCUACCACCCUCAAAAGAAUAUGCAGGCAGCAUGGUAUAAAUCGCUGGCCAUCACGAAAGAUCAAGAAGGUAGACCACUCUCUAAGAAAGCUGCAGCAGAUCAUUGAUUCAGUUCACGGAGGAGAGACAGCUUUCCAGCUUAAUACCCUGUACAAGGAUCUCACAAACACCUCUGUAUCAUCUGACAACAAUUUGUCAGGAAGCGUCACAGUUCCUCCACACAAGCAGAGUAAUCUUACUGAUUUUGAGGGGCACCGACACCACAGGCUAAACAGUAAUGUGCCAUCAACCUCACACUCACACUCAUCAUGCAGCCAAAGUUCUGAUUCAAGCCCGUCAUCGUGCAGUGGUGGAUCAACAAAGCAUCCACCUCAGGCUGGUGUUGAUUUGCUUAUGUCAGGAAAUCCUGUAAAUCACAGCCCUGUCCAGACUCUGCAAACAGAAAAUGCAUCAAUAAGAGGACAUUUCCCAGUUCAGGAGGCACCAGAUCUGUUGCAUAAUCUGAACCAAAAGGCUUUAGGCGGGCAGCAUUCUUCUCGAAGCCCAUCACCCCCGAAACAGAAUGCAGAUGCAGGUAUGAGAAUAAAGGCCACAUUUGGCUCAGAAAAGGUCAGGUUCAGAUUGAAGCCUGAGUGUAGUUUUCAAGAACUGAAGCAGGAGAUGGCAAGACGUUUGAGUAUAGUAGACACAAGUUUUUUGAUUGUAAAGUACCUGGAUGAUGAUUUAGAGUGGGUCUUGAUGACAUGUGAUGCAGAUUUACAGGAAUGCCUUCAUGUAUAUAAACUAGCAAAUCUCCAAACAGUCAAAAUUUCAGUUCAUCUAGCUCCUAUUCGAGAGGCAAGGGUCACUAUUGGUCACACUGGUUUGUCAUGAAGACAUUGUAGGCCUCAUCAGCUUGUGGGAUUUAAUCAGAAAUCUACGAAGAAGCAGUGCUUAGUUUUUACCAGAGGGCAGCCCAGAAUCCAUGAUUGGCAGUCCAUGCUAGGUAGCAAGUAACAUCACUGCUUCCAGUUUUGCUGCUAGCUGGAUUAGCCUUUGAUUUGAUUCUCAGGCUAGGAGCUGAUGAUGACACUAAAGCCAGUUUCAAGUAUUAGAAUACACUGAAGAAAGCAUGCAUUGACUUGUAAAUACUCUCACUGAUGUACCGCAAACUCUGAAUGACAGUCCAACUUGAUUGUGUUGAUAGGGUGGAUAUCUCUGAAUAAGGUUUGCUCAAGAUAUAUUUUGGUUCUUGGAAUGUUGAUGUGCAAUAAUCCCCAAUGGCUUUGUCUGAUUAUUGAUGAACUGAGGAUAUGACGCCAUUCAAUGCCUCACCCAAGUGACCAGCACCAAGGCUUUUAGUGUUCAGUGUGUUUUAUCAUUCAAUGGACAUGAAGCUCUAUUUUUGUAACAAAAAUUCUGCAGUAAUUAUUCUGGAUUAGUUCUAGAUAUUGGAGGAUAGGAUACUUUGUUCAAUUUUUUUGUCCUUACAAAACUAAAUAUGUAUGGUACGCUCGUACCACAGAACUGUCUCUUUGCAAAGACUGUUUGUUGCCGUAGACAGUGUUUUAUUUAAGAAGCUUUCAGUUUGGUG
rnacentral:rRNA from 1 species